rnacentral:rRNA from 1 species
CGAGAGCUAAUACCGGAUAAUAUAUUGAACCGCAUGGUUCAAUAGUGAAAGACGGUUUUGCUGUCACUUAUAGAUGGAUCCGCGCCGCAUUAGCUAGUUGGUAAGGUAACGGCUUACCAAGGCAACGAUGCGUAGCCGACCUGAGAGGGUGAUCGGCCACACUGGAACUGAGACACGGUCCAG